CAGAGGGGGGGGAGAGAAUGUUCUGGAACUCAUGCGAUCUGGUCUCCGUUCCUCUGCCAUCUCCAAUUUCUUCUCUUCUUCCUUCACUCUUUGCCAUCGCUGAUGAGAGAGCUGAGAUGCUGUGCGUUUUCUGUUACUGGUUCACUGUUUUCCAGCCCAUGUCUGCUUUGUUUCUUGUUCUUGACCAUAUUUCUUCCCCCACUCUUCUGUUUGUUGAUGAUGAAGCAAGUAAAUAGCUGAUUUGAGGUUGUAAGAGAACUAAUUUUGUGGGUUGGAGGUUGGAAUUGUGCUGUCUUCUUCUUCCCCUCUUCAGUCGUAGAUUCUGUUCUGCGCUUCCCUGUGCGUUUGUGAUCGGCUGCCUAAGGUGGUGGUGGAGACUCAUGUUUAGAUAAGUUUCAUAUUGUAUCUCUUCUUCCUCUAGCUUUUGGCGUGCUCAUCCUUGAAAGGGUGUUUGGAAGAGAAGAAGUUUGAUUAAAGUUGAGAGGAGAAAUUUGACUUCUGGAGAAAUUUCAAAGAAUGAUUCAUGCGAGUUCGACUUUGAAAUUUUUGAUUAUUCAAUAAAUGCAAGCAUGAGCAUUGGAUAUGAAAAUUGAUUCUGGGGAUUUUAUACGGAACACUGGUUGCUAACGGCAAUUCCGUUAGCCCUUGGCGCGCCAUGGUACAUCUAGCUAGCAGGGUGUUUAUAGGAGGUGUUAGCCCAGUGCGAUGGCCAACACAUGUGGAAUGGAGGGAUGGUUAUUCGUGAGCAUCAUACUCACGUUUGUUUCGUGGCUUCAAGCCGCGUUUGAUUAGCGUUAUCCUCGUGAACUGUGUGUCCACGUUUGUUUCGUGGCUUUGGCCGCGUUUGGUUACUUACCCUCGUGGACUAAGUGUCCAUGUUUGUUUUUAUGGCAUAAGCCGCGUUUGGUUAGUUACCCUCGUGGAUUAUGUGUCCACAUUUGUUAAUUAUUCUGAUAAGUCCCUAUAUUUAUGAAUCCAAUCGUUUGAUGGUUUCAUAUUCUAUUGGUUUUUAUUUUGUAAAUUGUUUAUAAAUAUUUAUUUCAUUUAUGUGCUUUCUUGAAUAUGAUAGUCUAAUGAUUUGAGAUUUUAUUUGAAAUUUAUAAAGCCAUUUUAUUAUGAAGUUUAUAAAAUUUUUACAAAAAUUUUAUCUAUUUAACUUACAUAACUAUUUCAAACUUUUCAUUUUAUUCAUGUUCUAUUAUUUAUUGUUGAGACGUUAUUCACUGGAA